GACGAACGCUGGCGGCGUGCCUAAUACAUGCAAGUAGAACGCACAGUUUAUACCGUAGCUUGCUACACCAUAAACUGUGAGUUGCGAACGGGUGAGUAACGCGUAGGUAACCUGCCUGGUAGCGGGGGAUAACUAUUGGAAACGAUAGCUAAUACCGCAUAAUAUUAAUUAUUGCAUGAUAAUUGAUUGAAAGAUGCAAUUGCAUCACUACCAGAUGGACCUGCGUUGUAUUAGCUAGUAGGUGAGGUAACGGCUCACCUAGGCGACGAUACAUAGCCGACCUGAGAGGGUGAUCGGCCACACUGGGACUGAGACACGGCCCAGACUCCUACGGGAGGCAGCAGUAGGGAAUCUUCGGCAAUGGACGAAAGUCUGACCGAGCAACGCCGCGUGAGUGAAGAAGGGUUUCGGAUCGUAAAGCUCGGUUGUAAGAGAAGAACGGGUGUGAGAGUGGAAAGUUCACACUGUGACGGUAUCUUACCAGAAAGGGACGGCUAACUACGUG
rnacentral:rRNA from 1 species